GACCGAUAGUGAACCAGUACCGUGAGGGAAAGGUGAAAAGCACCCCGGAAGGGGAGUGAAACAGUUCCUGAAACCGUGUGCCUACAAGUAGUUAGAGCCCGUUAAUGGGUGAUAGCGUGCCUUUUGUAGAAUGAACCGGCGAGUUACGAUUUGUUGCAAGGUUAAGCGGAAAAAGCGGAGCCGUAGCGAAAGCGAGUCUGAAUAGGGCGCAUAAGUAACAGGUCGUAGACCCGAAACCAGGUGAUCUACCCAUGUCCAGGAUGAAGGUAAGGUAAUACUUACUGGAGGUCCGAACCCACGCACGUUGAAAAGUGCGGGGAUGAGGUGUGGGUAGCGGAGAAAUUCCAAUCGAACUUGGAGAUAGCUGGUUCUCUCCGAAAUAGCUUUAGGGCUAGCCUCGAGGUAAAGAGUCAUGGAGGUAGAGCACUGUUUGGACUAGGGGCCCUUCUCGGGUUACCGAAUUCAGAUAAACUCCGAAUGCCAUGUACUUAUACUCGGGAGUCAGACUGCGAGUGAUAAGAUCCGUAGUCGAAAGGGAAACAGCCCAGACCACCAGUUAAGGUCCCCAAAUAUAUGUUAAGUGGAAAAGGAUGUGGGGUUGCUUAGACAACCAGGAUGUUGGCUUAGAAGCAGCCACCAUUGAAAGAGUGCGUAAUAGCUCACUGGUCGAGUGACCCCGCGCCGAAAAUGUACCGGGGCUAAACAUAUUACCGAAACUGUGGAUGAACCUCUUUAGAGGUUCGUGGUAGGAGAGCGUUCUAAGGGCGGUGAAGUCAGACCGGAAGGACUGGUGGAGCGCUUAGAAGUGAGAAUGCCGGUAUGAGUAGCGAAAGAAGGGUGAGAAUCCCUUCCACCGAAUAUCUAAGGUUUCCUGAGGAAGGCUCGUCCGCUCAGGGUUAGUCGGGACCUAAGCCGAGGCCGAUAGGCGUAGGCGAUGGACAACAGGUAGAGAUUCCUGUACCAGUGCUAAUUGUUUAACCGAUGGGGUGACACAGAAGGAUAGGGAAUCGCACGAAUGGAAAUGUGCGUCCAAGCAGUGAGUGUGAGAAGUAGGCAAAUCCGCUUCUCGCGAAGCAUGAGCUGUGAUGGGGAAGGAAAUUAAGUACGGAAGUUCCUGAUUUCACGCUGUCAAGAAAAGCCUCUAGGAAGAGUAGUACUGCCCGUACCGCAAACCGACACAGGUAGAUGAGGAGAGAAUCCUAAGGUGAGCGAGAGAACUCUCGUUAAGGAACUCGGCAAAAUGACCCCGUAACUUCGGGAGAAGGGGUGCUCUAUUAGGGUGCAAGCCCGAGAGAGCCGCAGUGAAUAGGCCCAGGCGACUGUUUAGCAAAAACACAGGUCUCUGCAAAACCGUAAGGUGACGUAUAGGGGCUGACGCCUGCCCGGUGCUGGAAGGUUAAGAGGAGUGCUUAGCUUCGGCGAAGGUACGAAUUGAAGCCCCAGUAAACGGCGGCCGUAACUAUAACGGUCCUAAGGUAGCGAAAUUCCUUGUCGGGUAAGUUCCGACCCGCACGAAAGGCGCAACGAUCUGGGCACUGUCUCAACGAGAGACUCGGUGAAAUUAUAGUACCUGUGAAGAUGCAGGUUACCCGCGACAGGACGGAAAGACCCCGUGGAGCUUUACUGCAACCUGAUAUGGAAUGUUUGUACCGCUUGUACAGGAUAGGUAGGAGCCGAAGAGACGUGUGCGCUAGCAUACGAGGAGGCAAUGGUGGGAUACUACCCUGGCUGUAUGACCAUUCUAACCCGCCACGCUUAGCGCGUGGGGAGACAGUGUCAGGUGGGCAGUUUGACUGGGGCGGUCGCCUCCUAAAGAGUAACGGAGGCGCCCAAAGGUUCCCUCAGAAUGGAUGGAAAUCAUUCGCAGAGUGUAAAGGCACAAGGGAGCUUGACUGCGAGACUGACAAGUCGAGCAGGGACGAAAGUCGGGCUUAGUGAUCCGGUGGUUCCGCAUGGAAGGGCCAUCGCUCAACGGAUAAAAGCUACCCCGGGGAUAACAGGCUUAUCUCCCCCAAGAGUCCACAUCGACGGGGAGGUUUGGCACCUCGAUGUCGGCUCGUCGCAUCCUGGGGCUGUAGUCGGUCCCAAGGGUUGGGCUGUUCGCCCAUUAAAGCGGCACGCGAGCUGGGUUCAGAACGUCGUGAGACAGUUCGGUCCCUAUCCGUCGCGGGCGCAGGAAAUUUGAGAGGAGCUGUCCUUAGUACGAGAGGACCGGGAUGGACACACCGCUGGUGUACCAGUUGUUCCGCCAGGAGCAUCGCUGGGUAGCUAUGUGUGGCAGGGAUAAACGCUGAAAGCAUCUAAGCGUGAAGCCCCCCUCAAGAUGAGAUUUCCCAUUUCUUCGGAAAGUAAGAUCCCUGAAAGAUGAUCAGGUAGAUAGGUUUGGAGUGGAAGUGUAGCGAUACAUGGAGCGGACAAAUACUAAUCGAUCGAGGACUUAACCAAAA
rnacentral:rRNA from 1 species